rnacentral:rRNA from 1 species
CCCUUAGAUGUUCUGGGCCGCACGCGCGCUACACUGACGAAAGCAACGAGCUUAUAACCUUGGCCGAAAGGUCUGGGUAAUCUCCAAACUUCGUCGUGAUGGGGAUAGAUUAUUGCAAUUAUUAAUCUUCAACGAGGAAUGCCUAGUAAGCGCAAGUCAUCAGCUUGCGUUGAUUACGUCCCUGCCCUUUGUACACACCGCCCGUCGCUACUACCGAUUGAAUGAUUUAGUGAGGACUUCGGACUGGGACCGAUGCGGCUUUCGGGCUGCGUCGGUAUUCUGGAAAGAUGUCCAAACUGUAUCAUUUAGAGGAAGUAAAAGUCGUAACA